GACUUGAAGAAGAACAAGAUCUAUGAUCUCAGAGCUGCAAUUUAUCAAACUGGAGUUUCAGAUCCAGAGUUGAGAGAGAUCAAGAGACAAAUGAUUACAGUGCUUGAUGAUGCUGAAAAAGAACUCCUCAGAGAGUAUCUAAAGACAGCAAAUGGUGUCUAUGCAGCUAAGGAAUAAAGUAUCUGUAAGUUUUAAAAGUUUUCUGUUAUAUAGUUAAACUCUGUUGCAUUUGACUUAAAUGUUUUGACAUCAUCAAUUAUCUGUUAACUUGCACAUAAUUUAUUUAUGCACAAGUUGGGGGAGAUUGUUAGAUAUAAUUGAUGAUUACUAAUGUUCUUAAGGUUUGUUUUAGAACAGGAAUCAUCAGAGUUUAAACUGGAAGCUGA
rnacentral:lncRNA from 1 species